UAAUAAAAGUGUUUUAUGGCACUCUUCAAACAAAUCCAUAUCCACCUUGUGUGCAAUGUUUUUUUUUUUUAAAUAAACACUUUAUUUUUUAAUUGCCAAUUUAUCUGAAGAUCAGUAUUAUUAUGAAUUAACUUAAUUCAAAAUA
rnacentral:misc_RNA from 1 species